rnacentral:rRNA from 1 species
CAGUCGCCGCGGUAAAACGAAGGGGGCUAGCGUUGUUCGGAUUUACUGGGCGUAAAGCGCACGUAGGCGGACUUUUAAGUCAGGGGUGAAAUCCCGGGGCUCAACCCCGGAACUGCCUUUGAUACUGGGAGUCUUGAGUUCGAGAGAGGUGAGUGGAAUUGCGAGUGUAGAGGUGAAAUUCGUAGUUAUUCGCAGGAACACCAGUGGCGAAGGCGGCUCACUGGCUCGAUACUGACGCUGAGGUGCGAAAGCGUGGGGAGCAAACAGGAUUAGAUACCCGUGUAGUCCCUGUCUCUUAUAC